ensembl:lncRNA
UCUUACUGUAUCGCGUUCCCUUCUUGAGCGUCGGUGAACGUUCGCAGCCUUUCGUGAUAGUCGUGUACGAGUCUCUCAGUCGUCCUCGGUGUGAGAAGACGGAUCUCGACAUCAUAUAGUCGCCGUUGGAAAGGAGUUAAAUAUGCAGAAGAUGCUGGAAAAGUAAAGAAUGUGCAGGACCUGGAGGAUUUUUCUGAAGAACAGUGGGGCGGUUUAACUGCUCAGGACAAACAAGGGACUCAUGAAGAACUCUCACAAAACAUAAACACAGUCUCUGAUCAUCCAGUCGAGCAGACGCGGUAAAGCGUGACGUCGUGGAGAAGAGGCGGCGCGUGUGGAGAGGACGCCUGGGAGGAGCAGCACUCAGUAGCCUGCGUUUCACACAGACUGUUAGUGAGAAUGUAAACCUGAACAAAGAAAAAUCUGUAGAUCUAUAAUUAAGAACACUUACACGGGUUCUUAAAUGCCUCUGAAACGUCUCUGAUGCUUUUAUAUAUAUAUAUAUAUAUAUGUGUGUGUGUGUGUGUGUGUGUGAAUAAAAGCAGCUUUGUUUAUUUUAAGCUAUAGAACCAAGACGAUAAAAUACGAUUUUAUUUACCGUUUCAAAGGUUUCAUUUAUUUCCUGGUUGUGUCACUGACAUUUUUUAUUUUUAUUUUUUUUUAAAUCGAGUUUUUUUUUGUCCGCGUGUUGGAUCGAGCUACGUUUAUUUUGAUGAAGCAUCAGUCGUAAAAUAGUGGAACAGUACGCUGUGCCAGUAGUUAUUAAUGAAGGCAUGACGGAUAUGGAGUUGUAAAAGAGUGUCGAUGUGCCUGAUACACUAAUCUGUGUUCUGUGUUUAAUGCCUGUCAGAAAAGAAAAAAAAAAAAACACACACACACUAUGUUUGUUCAUUUACAGCUACUUUUGUCUUAAUAAUCUAAAAGAUGUGUAAUAUUGUAUUGGAUUAACAUUAGUAUUGAGAUGCUGUACAGUAAAAGGUGCAUUAGGUACGAGUUUUCCUUUUUAUAUUCCGGAUCUGGUUGCGGUUGCGAUCGUUAGUCGUUACAAGUCUACGGUACAGCAAAGUAUUCCGAAUUCUAGCUUUUCUUUUUGACAGUUAAGAGAAAGAGCGCACUGUUUUUCCUACAUAAUGCACCUUUAGGACUUUUUGGUACGUCUCAUAGUGCUUACCAGUAUUCUGAAUUUCAUAAUUAAAUACAAAAUACAAACUGCUGUUGUAUCCGUGACGAUUCUUCUGGUUCUGUUGCCCUUUAAUGUCUUAAGUAAGGAAUAAAACACUUUAUGGUGUUGUAGGAAAAUAAUCAGCGGUGUUGUGGUGGAGUUACUGAUUACGCGUACGUGCACGUAGUGCGAUAUUAAUCGGAAUUUGGCAGUGUUAGUAUUGGAAUUAGUAUCGAGGCAGGUUAACGCCGCAGUCCGAUUGCCUGAUUCAGGUUAAUACGAUACUCUGAUUCCCAACGCUGGAAUAUAUAAAUGUCUGC